UCUAAAAAAAUCUCUCCCUCUUUGUGUCUGCGAACCCAAGUCUCUAUAAACGCAAACGCCGCUCGAGGUUUCCCAAAUUCAAAGAUAAACAAAAGAGCAAAAAAAAAAAAUUUCGGAUUAGGGCUUCGAUUCUCCCGAUUCGAAUCGGGAGUUCAUCUGCGCGCUCACUCCGCUUGAGGAUUCGUGGAGAUCAGAGACAAUGUUUGGUCAUUCAUCAAGGAGGAGUAAUAAUACCAAGUAUUAUGAGAUUCUUGGCGUCUCGCAGAAUGCGAGCCAAGAUGAGUUGAAAAAAGCUUAUAAGAAGGCCGCCAUCAAGAAUCAUCUGGACAAGGGUAAUGACCCAGAGAAGGUUGUUUCUCGAUGCUCCCUGCCACAGUUAGUUCCUAGUGAUGUUGUUGAAGUUGAGGUAUGAUGAUAUGGCUUUUGGCGUGUAAGUGUUCUAUUAUAUCAAGUUCGGAUUUGACCUUUUAUAAAAUGGUUGGUUGCAAAGUUCCUGCUGAUAUGAGAAUGAUUGAAAUUCUGAGUAACCAGUUGCGUGUUGAUCAGAAACCAUAUGCAAUCAAGUCAAGCACUUCCAUUAGAAUACAUUGGCAAGCACUGGGAAAGACAAAAAAAAAAAA